CAUAUUUUGCCAUCUUGUUUUUGUGUUUUUAUCUUCUCUCUUUCUUUGCUAUUGCUUCUGUAAUGAGGAAAGGAAGAAACGAGAGUUUGC
rnacentral:ribozyme from 14 species